rnacentral:rRNA from 1 species
GUAGGGUGCAAGCGUUAAUCGGAAUUACUGGGCGUAAAGCGUGCGCAGGCGGUUGUGCAAGACAGGUGUGAAAUCCCCGGGCUUAACCUGGGAACUGCACUUGUGACUGCACGGCUGGAGUGCGGCAGAGGGGGAUGGAAUUCCGCGUGUAGCAGUGAAAUGCGUAGAUAUGCGGAGGAACACCGAUGGCGAAGGCAAUCCCCUGGGCCUGCACUGACGCUCAUGCACGAAAGCGUGGGGAGCAAAC